AGAGUUUGAUCCUGGCUCAGAUUGAACGCUGGCGGCAUGCCUUACACAUGCAAGUCGAACGGCAGCACGGACUUCGGUCUGGUGGCGAGUGGCGAACGGGUGAGUAAUGUAUCGGAACGUACCUUUCAGUGGGGGAUAACGUAGCGAAAGUUACGCUAAUACCGCAUAUUCUGUGAGCAGGAAAGCAGGGGAUCGCAAGACCUUGCGCUGAUUGAGCGGCCGAUAUCAGAUUAGCUAGUUGGUGGGGUAAAGGCCUACCAAGGCUACGAUCUGUAGCGGGUCUGAGAGGAUGAUCCGCCACACUGGAACUGAGACACGGUCCAGACUCCUACGGGAGGCAGCAGUGGGGAAUUUUGGACAAUGGGGGCAACCCUGAUCCAGCCAUGCCGCGUGAGUGAAGAAGGCCUUCGGGUUGUAAAGCUCUUUUGUCCGGGAGGAAAUCCUGACCCCUAAUACGGGUCGGGGAUGACAGUACUGGAAGAAUAAGCACCGGCUAACUACGUGCCAGCAGCCGCGGUAAUACGUAGGGUGCGAGCGUUAAUCGGAAUUACUGGGCGUAAAGCGUGCGCAGGCGGUUUUGUAAGUCAGAUGUGAAAUCCCCGGGCUCAACCUGGGAACUGCAUUUGAGACUGCACGGCUAGAGUGUGGCAGAGGGGGGUAGAAUUCCACGUGUAGCAGUGAAAUGCGUAGAGAUGUGGAGGAAUACCGAUGGCGAAGGCAGCCCCCUGGGCCAAUACUGACGCUCAUGCACGAAAGCGUGGGGAGCAAACAGGAUUAGAUACCCUGGUAGUCCACGCCCUAAACGAUGUCAACUGGUUGUUGGGUCUUCACUGACUCAGUAACGAAGCUAACGCGUGAAGUUGACCGCCUGGGGAGUACGGCCGCAAGGUUAAAACUCAAAGGAAUUGACGGGGACCCGCACAAGCGGUGGAUGAUGUGGAUUAAUUCGAUGCAACGCGA
rnacentral:rRNA from 1 species